CAACGGCUGGUGUCUGUCGCCGGCUGCCACCUCCUCCGCACGGCAGGGGGGCGCCUUCCUCAUGACACCUGUGCUGCCGUCACAAACAGCUGUUAGUCUGUUGCUGUCUUCUUUCACCUCCCAUCUGACUCGGAUUACCCCGCACGCAGAGUGCCCCGCAUACGGUAUGUUAUUCCAAAGAUUCAGCCGAAUUAAGGACAGAGAGGAGAAAAAGCAGGCAGGGAAGAUUUUCUUAGAUUUCCGUAAUGACGAUGGAUUACCUUUGUAAGCGGAGGCAGAAAGCACCGAUCCUCUUCUAGAACAAAUCAUGGUGCACAAACCUCUGACAUGCUUGAGUGAUUACAACUUAACAACGUUCUGCUGGUGUUUCCUGUGUGCCACCAGGCCAACCCCCAGGAAGGAUCUGGCCUCAUCACAUGGCUGCUCUCGUUCUAAGGAAGAAAAAGAGACCCAGAGAUGGUGAACGACCUUCCUCAAGCUCCAAACCGGUUGUACCAAGUCAGGGCUUGAAGUCAGCUCUUGCAACCUCCACCCAGUACCCUUUGCCCGGCUUCACUAUUUCUCUGAAUCUGAGGUGCUCGGUGUUAUUGCCGUCAUGUUUACAUCUAGGCCUGCCCCAUUUACCCCCGGGGUUUCUCAGCUUCGACGCUAUGGAUAGCGGGGGCCAGAUAAUUCUUUGUGGAGGGGGGCUGCCCUCUGCAUUGUAGAAAGCUUAGUAGCACAUUUGGCCUCUCUCCACUCUUUGCCAGUAGCACCCCUGGUCCCACUCAUGUGACAAUAAAAAUGUCCCCAGAUAUUGCUGAAUGUCCCUUGGGGGGCAUAGUCAUCCCGGGUUGGGAACGAGUGAUUUACUCUCGGUGAAAAUUCAUAUCCAUUCAGCGGACUUCUCCUUUGGACCUUUGUCCUACCUGUUCAUAGUUUACUAGAGUCUGAGAGGUUUAUGUCCAAAAAAGAAAAUCCUGCACAAACCUCUGGCCUGUUCCUUGGGCUUUACCACAGCUCAACCCUGCUCUUGCUGUGUGGCUGCUAAAGGGAUCCUGGGGGUCAGAGUAGGAGGCUGCGUGAUGGCUUUGCCACCUUUGCUGCUAUCCAGUUCCAGUCUCAUCCUUAGCCAAGCUUCCUUGUGUCCCACCUGCUUUUCCAAGGUCUGGGCCCUGCCCACCUGGAGGCAGUCUUUGUCCAUGUCUCUCCCCGUGGUGCAGGGACCUUGUCUGGAUGGCCCUGGCUUCAGGAGUAGAGGGACACCCCUUGGGUAGCCCUGCGGGGGCAGGGAGCCAGCACUGCGCUCGCAUCAGAAAACCUGCCUGUGACUCCUAGCCAUCUGAUGUGUCCUAUCUUGUAGGAUUGUUGGGAACACAAAACGAGAUGAUAGAUAUAAAGGGCUUAGUGCCAUAUCUGGUCAAGCCACCCUCGUUGUCAUCACUGCCACAAAGCCACUUGACCUUUCAGGCCAACAUCCUCAUCUGAAAAAGGAAGGGAUUGGGUUGGGUUAACUUCUAAGGUUUUCUUCAGCGUCAGCUUUCAAAGACUAUUUGGUUGCUUCAACUGUAAGACGGAGCAGUUAUAACUCCUUAUGAGGUUGUGGCACAAAUAACAUACUAUGG